GACGAAGUGAAUUAGCUGUUUCUUUGAAGAAAACAAGAAAAAGAGUUAGCUUCGGUUUCACCGAAAAGUCUCUAGAGAACCGAUUUUGAUCGGUCAGUUUGUAUGGCAGCUGUAUGCUAUAAUGGUCGCAUCUAAACAAUUCCUACGGAGGUUCUACCAUUACUUUAAUGACAUGGUGUUAUAUGGUAGAAAUAGUUGCCCGAUCUUGG